AUUGAACGCUGGCGGCAUGCUUUACACAUGCAAGUCGAACGGUAACAGGCCUUCGGGCGCUGACGAGUGGCGAACGGGUGAGUAAUGCAUCGGAACGUGCCCAGUCGUGGGGGAUAACGCAGCGAAAGCUGUGCUAAUACCGCAUACGAUCUGCGGAUGAAAGCGGGGGACCUUCGGGCCUCGCGCGAUUGGAGCGGCCGAUGUCAGAUUAGGUAGUUGGUGGGGAAAAGGCUCACCAAGCCAACGAUCUGUAGCUGGUCUGAGAGGACGACCAGCCACACUGGGGCUGAGACACGGCCCAGACUCCUACGGGAGGCAGCAGUGGGAAUUUUGGACAAUGGGCGCAAGCCUGAUCCAGCAAUGCCGCGUGCAGGAAGAAGGCCUUCGGGUUGUAAACUGCUUUUGUACGGAGCGAAAGGGCUCCCUCUAAUACAGGGGGCUCAUGACGGUACCGUAAGAAUAAGCACCGGCUAACUACGUGCCAGCCGCCGCAGUAAUAC
rnacentral:rRNA from 1 species